CUACGGGAGGCAGCAGUGGGGAAUAUUGGGCAAUAGGCGCAAGCCUGACCCAGCAACGCCGCGUGAGGGAAGAAUGUCUUCGGAUUGUAAACCUCUGUCCUUGGGGACGAAAAAAAUGACGGUACCCAAGGAGGAAGCUCCGGCUAACUACGUGCCAGCAGCCGCGGUAAUACGUAGGGAGCAAGCGUUGUCCGGAAUUAUUGGGCGUAGAGGGUGCGUAGGCGGCGCUGUAAGUCAGAUGUGAAAUCCCCGGGCUUAACUCGGGAGUUGCAUUUGAAACUACAGUGCUUGAGUAAAGAAGGGGUAAGUGGAAUUCCUAGUGUAGCGGUGGAAUGCGUAGAUAUUAGGAGGAACACCAGUGGCGAAGGCGACUUACUGGUCUUUUACUGACGCUGAGGCACGAAAGCGUGGGGAGCAAACAGGAUUAGAUACCCCCGUAGUC
rnacentral:rRNA from 1 species